rnacentral:lncRNA from 1 species
CCUAAGAUUUUAUAUUGGCUGAAAAUAUUUUUCUCCAGGUACACAUUCCUACAAAUUGUUAGUUUUCAGGUUUUUAAAAUAUUGAAGGAAAAAGAAAAUUGAAGCUUCCGAUAUGUGAUAGCUGGCAUGAUAGCUCGAGGUAGAGAGCAGUUUUUUUUUCUUUCUUUUUUUUAAUAAAGGUUUUGGCCAUUUUGAACAAAAAUGAUCUUACCAAGUAAUUUUUAGCAGCAAUACAAGAAAGGUAAGGUGCCCCAAGUUCUCAAUAAACAGCUUCGCAAUACCAGUCCACAAUUUUAAUGAAUUAUAAGGCUGAAUAUAAUUUCGAAGUUUAGACCUGCUGUUCAGAGAACGACCGAAAUUAUCAUCAAUAUUUGCUGGGUGAGCUAAUCAAUGAAAAUUGAGCUGCAUCCUUUUAAUUUUUUCACGUUUCAAACAUCAUUACAAUAAGCUGCUUGACUCUCCAAAUUUUCAGCUUCAUUUUUCCGGGUGGUGGUACUUGGAAAUCUACUGAUCUGAUGUCCAAGAGUAUUUGAUUUGCGACUGUUUUCAUCGUUUUUAAAUGGUUUUAAUGCAAAAGAGUAAAGACGUAAGGAUGGAAAAGGUCCUGCGGCCACCAAAAUAUGAACAGAAUAACGGUGAACAGGUAGAUUAUUUUAUUUCUUCAUUUUAUUCAUUUAAUUUCCUUUUCAAAUUUUAAAAAUUGAAAUAUUUCAAAUAAUUGAAUCAUUUUGAGUAAAGAACAGGAGCGUAUCCUACAGCAGGCAAAAGUAGCGCAAAAAUUCCGCAGUCAUGGAAAGAAAGCACAUGAGUUGAAAAAUACGCCCAAUUAAUUUUGGCAUCAACCAAGAAAAAUACCAAGAACCCGUUUGAGCAAACUUGAAGACACGAUGGACUGAACUGGAAAAACAUGCAUUUUACUAUAAUCCUCGGUUGAUUCCAAUGUUAGUCAAGAUUGGUAUUAACCCGUUCUCUAUCUAGUUGCGCCAAAGGAGCAAAGAAAAUAUUAAGUAUUCGGAAUUUUGAUUUCA